AUCAGAUUUAUUUGGAGAAAACAGAAAUCCCACAACCCAAAGGAUGGGAUUUUACAUCAAGACAUCUCCCAGGCUGACAUUUCUUGGCAACCUACGGAAGCUGUUCUGAUGAGCCUCUGUGUUAGUAAAGAAUACAUCUCUAUAAAUGGACUGCAGUACAGCUGACCUUGGACAGGCUUAUUUGGGCCUAACUGGGUUCUAAGCUUUCUGCUGGGUUCAGCUCUUUGUACUUCAGGCAACAACACCUGAGAGGAUUUUUCUGGCAGGCGAAAAAAUGUUUGCAAUGACUUUGAUGAUACGGUGACUGAGGUUUUGGCAGAAAUGUGAAUAUAAGCAAGCAUACUAUGAGAUACAUGAUCCAGUCACUGUAACCUUCUUUGGAACUAGUAUUGAUCCAGCAGCAGCUUUCAGUACUGAUCCUAAAAACAAAUAAUAUGAUCGGAUCAGAUCAUCACAAAGGGAGCAGGAAUUUGAAGGAUGUAUCUGGGUUAUUCAAACCGAAAACACCUAACUCCAGUUCAUUAAAAAUCAUUUCAUAUUUGUAUAAAAAUAAUUUUUAAAAGAGUCUAGAUGUAGUUAUAAUUUUAAAAGUAGUCAUAUUUCUAGAACCUUCUUUAAAUUCUUGUUAUUUGAAUAUGAAAUUAUUGUAAAUCCAUUGAAUAAAUAACUAUAUUCAUAUAAAAUUUCAAACUAAUACAUACAUUAGAAGUAAGUAUAUUUAUUUCUCAUUGAGAUGAAAUAUUUUUGUCCCACAAUAUUAGAUUUGUAUAUGUGUUUGUGUGUUUGUGUAUUUUAAGUAAUUAAACUUUGAGUUUCAUUUUAAAACUGUGAGAGUAUUUUAUUACAUAAAAAAUUUUCAGACCGAAUGGAAUCUAGAUAUGGAAAGCCUAUCUCUCUCAUAUCUAAAAAUUCUGAUCUAUUUUAGCAGUUUUAUGUGGUUACAUAUAGAAUGAACCCACAGCAUCUAGAUAUUUUUCCAAAUCUGACAAAAAUUUUAGUUACAUCUAGACAAAUAUUUAGACCUCUCGAGUCUAUAAUAUUGCGUGAAAGAAACCCAGUAUAGAAUUUUAUUUUCUUUAUUUUGGGUAAUAUUGUAUUUAAGAUGAC
rnacentral:lncRNA from 1 species